UCCCUGGAGGACUAGUGGUUAGGCCACAGUGCUCUCACUGCUGUAGCCUGGGUUCGAUUCCCAGCCAGGGAA
rnacentral:tRNA from 1 species